ACUCAUUAUAUUCAAACUUAUUCUUGAAAACCUAAAGUUUAGAUUAUUUUGGUUCCGUUUAUUGAUUUAGAAAUCUUGCGUCUAUAUGAUUUUGGUUAAGCUUACUGAUUUUGUUUUCCUUUGCUGAUGUAAGAAUAUUUAGGCUUUGUUUAUUGAUUUAGAAAGCUAGAGUUUAGGUGGUUUUGGUUUCGCUAAUUGAUUUUGUCUUCGUAUGUUGAUGUAAGAUGAUGCAAAGUUAACCUGAAUACUUACUUUAUGUUGUUAGGGACGAUUAAUAGAUUUGAUAUUUGUUGUAAUCUGUUUAAUCUACUCCUCUCGCAGGCCACACUCAUCCAAGGGUCAGUCAAUCAACAAGCUUCACCGUCUUCACUCCUUCCAACUUAUCUUGCAAGCAGACCAGACGACUGUUUACGUGGAGGUCACAGCCACGGCUGAACCGAUACCGGAGGAGAGGGCUUCAGGUUCCGCAAAUACGAGGACCUCAUGUCACUUGCCAAUACCAACACUCAUUUGCCAGAUAUCGUUGGAGAGAUUAGGGGCAUAAAACAAUGUACAACCAAGACACCCAGAGCACUCAGCGCCUUAUGGCAGCCAUAAA